GGAAUAUUGGUCAAUGGUCGAUAGACUGAACCAGCCAAGUAGCGUGCAGGACUACAGCCUUAUAGGUUUUAAACUGCUUUUAUGCGAGAGUAAAGUCGGGUACGUGUACCCGUUUGCAAGUAUCGCAAGAAAAAGGACCGGCUAAUUCCGUGCCAGCAGCCGCGGUAAUACGGAAGGUCCGGGCGUUAUCCGGAUUUAUUGGGUUUAAAGGGAGCGCAGGUGGGUUUGUAAGUCAGCCGUGAAAGUUCGAUGCUCAACAUUGAAAUUGCGGUUGAAACUGCAGGUCUUGAGUAAACGCAGCGGCACUGGAAUUCGUGGUGUAGCGGUGAAAUGCUUAGAUAUCACGAAGAACUCCGAUCGCGAAGGCAGGUGCCGGGAGUUUUACUGACACUGAGGCUCGAAAGUGCGGGUAUCAAACA
rnacentral:rRNA from 1 species